UACGGGGGGGGCAAGCGUUGUUCGGAAUUACUGGGCGUAAAGGGCUCGUAGGCGGCCAACUAAGUCAUACGUGAAAUCCCUCGGCUUAACCGGGGAACUGCGUCUGAUACUGGAUGGCUUGAGUGUGGGAGAGGGAUGCGGAAUUCCAGGUGUAGCGGUGAAAUGCGUAGAUAUCGGGAGGAACACCUGUGGCGAAAGCGGCUCACUGGACCAUAGCUGACGCUGAUGCACGAAAGCUGGGGGAGCAAACAGG
rnacentral:rRNA from 1 species